rnacentral:rRNA from 1 species
GAUGAACGCUGGCGGCGUGCUUAACACAUGCCAGUCGAACGGAAAGGCCCUGCUUGCAGGGUACUCGAGUGGCGAACGGGUGAGUAACACGUGGGUGAUCUGCCCUGCACUUCGGGAUAAGCCUGGGAAACUGGGUCUAAUACCGGAUAGGAGCCAUUUUUAGUGUGAUGGUUGGAAAGUUUUUUCGGUGUAGGAUGAGCUCGCGGCCUAUCAGCUUGUUGGUGGGGUAAUGGCCUACCAAGGCGGCGACGGGUAGCCGGCCUGAGAGGGUGGACGGCCACAUUGGGACUGAGAUACGGCCCAGACUCCUACGGGAGGCAGCAGUGGGGAAUAUUGCACAAGGGGCGCAAGCCUGAUGCAGCGACGCCGCGUGGGGGAUGACGGCCUUCGGGUUGUAAACUCCUUUCGCUAGGGACGAAGCUUUUUGUGACGGUACCUAGAGAAGAAGCACCGGCUAACUACGUG